UACGUAGGGUGCGAGCGUUAAUCGGAAUUACUGGGCGUAAAGCGUGCGCAGGCGGUUUCGUAAGCUAGAUGUGAAAUCCCCGGGCUCAACCUGGGAACUGCAUUUAGGACUGCGAGGCUAGAGUGCGGCAGAGGGGGGUGGAAUUCCACGUGUAGCAGUGAAAUGCGUAGAUAUGUGGAGGAACACCGAUGGCGAAGGCAGCCCCCUGGGCCAGCACUGACGCUCAGGCACGAAAGCGUGGGGAGCAAACAGG
rnacentral:rRNA from 1 species